UGGGAGCCCCACCACUAAGCCAGUGGUGAACUCCACAUACGCAUCCUUUGCUGAGGAUACGGUUAACGGAGCGAAAGCGACGUUCAACCGCAAAAGAAGCAGAGGGGGCUUAGUGGUGGGGUGACUGCGUACCUUUUGUAUAAUGGGUCAGCGACUUAUAUUCUGUAGCAAGGUUAACCGAAUAGGGGAGCCGGAGGGAAACCGAGUCUUAACCGGGCGUUAAGUUGCAGGGUAUAGACCCGAAACCCGGUGAUCUAGCCAUGGGCAGGUUGAAGGUUGGGUAACACUAACUGGAGGACCGAACCGACUAAUGUUGAAAAAUUAGCGGAUGACCUGUGGCUGGGGGUGAAAGGCCAAUCAAACCGGGAGAUAGCUGGUUCUCCCCGAAAGCUAUUUAGGUAGCGCCUCGUGAAUUCAUCUCCGGGGGUAGAGCACUGUUUCGGCUAGGGGGCCAUCCCGGCUUACCAACCCGAUGCAAACUGCGAAUACCGGAGAAUGUUAUCACGGGAGACACACGGCGGGUGCUAACGUCCGUCGUGAAGAGGGAAACAACCCAGACCGCCAGCUAAGGUCCCAAAGUCAUGGUUAAGUGGGAAACGAUGUGGGAAGGCCCAGACAGCCAGGAUGUUGGCUUAGAAGCAGCCAUCAUUUAAAGAAAGCGUAAUAGCUCACUGGUCGAGUCGGCCUGCGCGGAAGAUGUAACGGGGCUAAACCAU
rnacentral:rRNA from 1 species